UUUUUUAACGGCCGCGGUAUUCUGACCGUGCAAAGGUAGCGUAAUCAUUAGCUCUUUAAUUGGGGGCUGGUAUGAAUGGUUUUUUGAGGGCUUUACUGUCUCUAAAACUUUAACUAAAAAUUAACUUUUAGGUUAAAAGGCCUAAAUAAAAAUAAAAGACGAGAAGACCCUGUUGAGCUUUAUCCCCAAAACAGAAUUUAUUUUUAAUAAAAAAUCACCCUCUGUUUUGGGGAUUUGGUUGGGGCAACCAGGGAAUAAUAAGCUUCCCUUAUUAAAAACACAAUUUAUCUUUUUUUAAAAAAAGAUAAAGCUACCACAGGGAUAACAGCGUAAUCUCUUUUGAGAGUUCUUAUCAAAAAAGGGGGUUGCGACCUCGAUGUUGGAUUAGGGUAUCCAAAAGAUGCAGCAGUUUUUUAUGGUUGGUCUGUUCGACCAUUAAAACCCU
rnacentral:rRNA from 1 species